rnacentral:lncRNA from 1 species
ACCCUCCCUCUCCCCCCUCCCACACCAAUCCUCACACAGCAACAAUCCUCACGGUUUCCUUCACUUCCUAGUGGUCAACUAAAACCCAGAGGAGGGGUGGAGAUCCUCAUCUGAUUGCAAAUUGGGUAGAAGCUCUGUGGUUAAGACUGAGUAUGGACUUUGAAAUCAGACCUGAAAGGGAAUAGCUCUCCCCUUCACUACUUGCUGUCUUAUGUAAAUGGGGCCAAUGAAGUCUCUUUGAACACCCUUUCUUGUUCAUACAGAAGUAAUAUCUAACUGAAGGGGGAAAAGGAUUAAAUGAGAAAAUAUUUACAUGGAAAGUUUUUUUUUUUUUUUUUUUUUGGUACUGGGGAUCGAACUCGGGACCUUGCCCUUUCCAGGCAGGCGGUGGAACCACUAAGCUAAAUCCCGGGCCCUACAUGGAAAGUUUUAGCACAGUACCCGGCAAACAGUAAGACCUCAAUUCAUAACUAUUUAAUCCAGUUCAAAAACUGCUAAGUAACUGCAUGUUUUGGUAUACUCGGAACUAGCAAGUAAGUUAAAACUGGAACCAAAAGAUAAGCUUAAGAUCUGAUUCUCUUAAACACAUAUUGAAUAUAUAUUCUGCCUUUAACAAGAUAAACGUUUUAACUGAGUUACUGAACUACGGCUCACGAUUUACCUUUUUACCUACUUAAUUUCUUACCUGAUUCAUAGGAAUUAUUUGUGCCAGGCAAAGUGCACCCUACUUGACCUCAGAAAACAGCACCGGGACAAAAAUAGUUAAGCUGGUGAGGGAAGCAAUACGAGUCUAAGAAACUGCGGAUCCGCUGAGCGAGGCUGCCUGUCUUUCCCCUUGUUUGAACGGACCUUUCGGUUUCUCAGGUAAGUCAAGAACACGCCUUCUGAACUGGGCUCUCAGGAAGCCACUGUUGAACUAACUAAGGCCAUCCACUUCCGUUCGAAGGGAAUAAGAAUUUUAGUCAAUAAUGAGGAGGAGCUCCGCUGGGUUGUUCUCUGUCGUGGUCUCCAGCAGUGACCCAGAUGAAAUAACCACUGCAACACUGACUACUCGAUCUGCCGGCUUGAAAGACUCCAGACCGGUGACUUUAUGGAUUAUGAUUCACCUUCCCUGUCCUGUUUUGAUGAGACACCACGACGGAACCAUCCCUGUCAAUAUAAGUUUCCAGUUUCCACCCUGUCAAUUCGCCCUGUACUAAUUGGCGCGCAGGUGAGAUUUCCUGUCGCCAUUUUAAGCAGACACGAGUCCCUCACAAGGAAGUGCCCAGUUAGAAGGGGCUGUGCUUGAAACAAAGAGUAGGCUGAAGAAAGAGAACCGGGCCCAGCAGCUCCCGCCCUCCAUCCUUCUCCCGCAUCCUCCAACGCUCCCAGUCCGGACUUGGGAGGGCCGGGAACGCCGCAGCCCUCGGGGCGGAGUAACGCGGAAUCUCCACUCUCGGC